rfam:TPA: Aspergillus nidulans FGSC A4 chromosome V
GGCCGGUUGGCCUAAUGGUAAGGCGUGGCUCUCCUAAGUGAUUUUGACUGUGUUCUAUGCAAAUUCAGUCUCCACUUAGAGUAGUUAAGCCAAGAUUGCGGGUUCGAGUCCCGUAUCGGUCG